UACGAAGGGGGCUAGCGUUGCUCGGAAUUACUGGGCGUAAAGGGCGCGUAGGCGGACAGUUUAGUCAGAGGUGAAAGCCCAGGGCUCAACCUUGGAAUUGCCUUUGAUACUGGCUGUCUUGAGUUCGGGAGAGGUGAGUGGAAUGCCGAGUGUAGAGGUGAAAUUCGUAGAUAUUCGGCGGAACACCAGUGGCGAAAGCGACUCACUGGCCCGAUACUGACGCUGAGGCGCGAAAGCGUGGGGAGCAAACAGG
rnacentral:rRNA from 1 species